rnacentral:rRNA from 1 species
UACGUAGGGUGCAAGCGUUGUCCGGAAUUAUUGGCGUAAAGAGCUCGUAGGCGGUUUGUCGCGUCUGCUGUGAAAACCCGAGGCUCAACCUCGGGCCUGCAGUGGGUACGGGCAGACUAGAGUGCGGUAGGGGAGAUUGGAAUUCCUGGUGUAGCGGUGGAAUGCGCAGAUAUCAGGAGGAACACCAAUGGCGAAGGCAGAUCUCUGGGCCGUAACUGACGCUGAGGAGCGAAAGCAUGGGGAGCGAACAGG